rnacentral:rRNA from 1 species
GACAGAGGGUGCAAACGUUGUUCGGAUUUACUGGGGCGUAAAAGCGUGUGUAGGCGGCUUCGCAAGUUGGAUGUGAAAAUCCCCACGGCUCAACCCGUGGGGAAGUGCAUUUCGAAAACUGCAGGGGGCUAGAGUCCCUGGGAGAGGGAAGGGUGGGAAAUGCUUUGGGUGUAGAGGGUGAAAAUUUCGUAGAUAUCAAAGCGGGAAACACCCGGGUGGCGAAGGGCGGGCCCUUUCUGGGACAGUGACUGACGCUGAGACGCGAAAAGCGUGGGGGAGCAAACAGG